UCUAUUAUAAAGCUAUGACAGAUUUGCAUGUUUUUUUAAAUGUGUACUAAAUGUGUUUAUACUUAUUUUUAGACAUUGGGUUCUUCAGUGAAGGAAAAAUUACAACAGUGGAAUCUCAUACAUUAAACAUCCACAUGCCAAUUAACUGAAAUAUUUCAAGAGGAAGGAGUCAAUGAAGGAAGUUUUAUGCGACCGGAUGACACCAGCAUUGCUGCACUAACUCCAAGAGAAGAAGUUUUUAGCAUUUUCAACGGUGAAACAGUGGAACAGAAGACCUUACUACAAGCAGUGGAUCUGUGUUUCAGACAUUUCUACAUUUAUGACAUCUACUACCCAAAGCUCCUCUGCACCCAUUUGCAGCACACAGUCUUUAAUAUUCCAGGAGUUCUUUCAACACAUUACCUCUUCCUUAGAAACUUUGUAUUUAUUGAUCCGUAAAAACUUUUUAUGUUGCUGAUUAUCAGCAAGUCCAGCAGCCAGCAGAUUUACUUUGUUUUAUUAUUAUUAUUAUUAUUAUUAUUAUUAUUACUUGUGUUUAUGAUUUUUUAUUUUUGUUUUAUUGAUAAAAGUUUGUAUGUUAUGUUUGUUUUAUUUGUGCACAUUUGUGUAUGUGUUGAUAUAAAUAAAUAUGAAUUGAUACACAUUUAUGACCCUGGACAACAAAACCGGUCAUAAGUAUCAUGGGUACAUUUGUAGAAAUAGCCAAAAUUGCAUUGUAUGGGUCAAAAUUAUCAAAUUUUCUUUCAUGCCAAAAAUCAUUAGAAUAUUAAGUAAAGAUCAUGUUCCAUGGAGAUAUUUUGUAAAUCUCCUACCAUAAGUAUAUUGAAACUGAAUUUAUUAUUAGUAAUAUGUGUUGCUAAUAACUUCACUUGGACAACUUUAAAGGCAAUUUUCUCAAUAUUUAGAUUUUUUU